AGAUUAAGUUAUUAAGGGCGCACGGUGGAUGCCUUGGCACUAGAAGCCGAUGAAGGACGUUACUAACGACGAUAUGCUUUGGGGAGCUGUAAGUAAGCUUUGAUCCAGAGAUUUCCGAAUGGGGAAACCUAGCAUGAGUUAUGUCAUGUUAUCGAUAUGUGAAUACAUAGCAUAUCAGAAGGCACACCCGGAGAACUGAAACAUCUUAGUACCCGGAGGAAGAGAAAGAAAAUUCGAUUCCCUUAGUAGCGGCGAGCGAAACGGGAAGAGCCCAAACCAACAAGCUUGCUUGUUGGGGUUGUAGGACACUCUAUACGGAGUUACAAAGGACGACAUUAGACGAAUCAUCUGGAAAGAUGAAUCAAAGAAGGUAAUAAUCCUGUAGUCGAAAAUGUUGUCUCUCUUGAGUGGAUCCUGAGUACGACGGAGCACGUGAAAUUCCGUCGGAAUCUGGGAGGACCAUCUCCUAAGGCUAAAUACUCUCUAGUGACCGAUAGUGAACCAGUACCGUGAGGGAAAGGUGAAAAGCACCCCGGAAGGGGAGUGAAAUAGAACCUGAAACCGUGUGCUUACAAGUAGUCAGAGCCCGUUAAUGGGUGAUGGCGUGCCUUUUGUAGAAUGAACCGGCGAGUUACGAUUUGAUGCAAGGUUAAGCAGUAAAUGUGGAGCCGUAGCGAAAGCGAGUCUGAAUAGGGCGUUUAGUAUUUGGUCGUAGACCCGAAACCAGGUGAUCUACCCUUGGUCAGGUUGAAGUUCAGGUAACACUGAAUGGAGGACCGAACCGACUUACGUUGAAAAGUGAGCGGAUGAACUGAGGGUAGCGGAGAAAUUCCAAUCGAACCUGGAGAUAGCUGGUUCUCUCCGAAAUAGCUUUAGGGCUAGCCUCAAGUGAUGAUUAUUGGAGGUAGAGCACUGUUUGGACGAGGGGCCCCUCUCGGGUUACCGAAUUCAGACAAACUCCGAAUGCCAAUUAAUUUAACUUGGGAGUCAGAACAUGGGUGAUAAGGUCCGUGUUCGAAAGGGAAACAGCCCAGACCACCAGCUAAGGUCCCAAAAUAUAUGUUAAGUGGAAAAGGAUGUGGCGUUGCCCAGACAACUAGGAUGUUGGCUUAGAAGCAGCCAUCAUUUAAAGAGUGCGUAAUAGCUCACUAGUCGAGUGACACUGCGCCGAAAAUGUACCGGGGCUAAACAUAUUACCGAAGCUGUGGAUUGUCCUUUGGACAAUGGUAGGAGAGCGUUCUAAGGGCGUUGAAGCAUGAUCGUAAGGACAUGUGGAGCGCUUAGAAGUGAGAAUGCCGGUGUGAGUAGCGAAAGACGGGUGAGAAUCCCGUCCACCGAUUGACUAAGGUUUCCAGAGGAAGGCUCGUCCGCUCUGGGUUAGUCGGGUCCUAAGCUGAGGCCGACAGGCGUAGGCGAUGGAUAACAGGUUGAUAUUCCUGUACCACCUAUAAUCGUUUUAAUCGAUGGGGGGACGCAGUAGGAUAGGCGAAGCGUGCGAUUGGAUUGCACGUCUAAGCAGUAAGGCUGAGUAUUAGGCAAAUCCGGUACUCGUUAAGGCUGAGCUGUGAUGGGGAGAAGACAUUGUGUCUUCGAGUCGUUGAUUUCACACUGCCGAGAAAAGCCUCUAGAUAGAAAAUAGGUGCCCGUACCGCAAACCGACACAGGUAGUCAAGAUGAGAAUUCUAAGGUGAGCGAGCGAACUCUCGUUAAGGAACUCGGCAAAAUGACCCCGUAACUUCGGGAGAAGGGGUGCUCUUUAGGGUUAACGCCCAGAAGAGCCGCAGUGAAUAGGCCCAAGCGACUGUUUAUCAAAAACACAGGUCUCUGCUAAACCGUAAGGUGAUGUAUAGGGGCUGACGCCUGCCCGGUGCUGGAAGGUUAAGAGGAGUGGUUAGCUUCUGCGAAGCUACGAAUCGAAGCCCCAGUAAACGGCGGCCGUAACUAUAACGGUCCUAAGGUAGCGAAAUUCCUUGUCGGGUAAGUUCCGACCCGCACGAAAGGCGUAACGAUUUGGGCACUGUCUCAACGAGAGACUCGGUGAAAUCAUAGUACCUGUGAAGAUGCAGGUUACCCGCGACAGGACGGAAAGACCCCGUGGAGCUUUACUGUAGCCUGAUAUUGAAAUUCGGCACAGCUUGUACAGGAUAGGUAGGAGCCUUUGAAACGUGAGCGCUAGCUUACGUGGAGGCGCUGGUGGGAUACUACCCUAGCUGUGUUGGCUUUCUAACCCGCACCACUUAUCGUGGUGGGAGACAGUGUCAGGCGGGCAGUUUGACUGGGGCGGUCGCCUCCUAAAAGGUAACGGAGGCGCUCAAAGGUUCCCUCAGAAUGGUUGGAAAUCAUUCAUAGAGUGUAAAGGCAUAAGGGAGCUUGACUGCGAGACCUACAAGUCGAGCAGGGUCGAAAGACGGACUUAGUGAUCCGGUGGUUCCGCAUGGAAGGGCCAUCGCUCAACGGAUAAAAGCUACCCCGGGGAUAACAGGCUUAUCUCCCCCAAGAGUUCACAUCGACGGGGAGGUUUGGCACCUCGAUGUCGGCUCAUCGCAUCCUGGGGCUGUAGUCGGUCCCAAGGGUUGGGCUGUUCGCCCAUUAAAGCGGUACGCGAGCUGGGUUCAGAACGUCGUGAGACAGUUCGGUCCCUAUCCGUCGUGGGCGUAGGAAAUUUGAGAGGAGCUGUCCUUAGUACGAGAGGACCGGGAUGGACAUACCUCUGGUGUACCAGUUGUCGUGCCAACGGCAUAGCUGGGUAGCUAUGUGUGGACGGGAUAAGUGCUGAAAGCAUCUAAGCAUGAAGCCCCCCUCAAGAUGAGAUUUCCCAACUUCGGUUAUAAGAUCCCUCAAAGAUGAUGAGGUUAAUAGGUUCGAGGUGGAAGCAUGGUGACAUGUGGAGCUGACGAAUACUAAUCGAUCGAAGACUUAAUCAAAUU
rnacentral:rRNA from 1 species